UCUCCACUGUCUUCUCCCCCGCUCCAAAUUUCACCGUUUUCACCCAGUCCGUCGCCACCGCAGUCCGCCGGCCAGCAGCUCACCGCAGUCCUCCGCCCACGGCAGGCCAGCCGCCACCCGCUCACUGCAGUCCGCAGUUCGCAGUCCGCCGCCCGCUACCCGCCGCCUGCUGCUCGCCUGCUCAUCGCUCAUCGCUACCCGCCUGCUGCUCGCCGUCGACGCCCACCGCCUGCCGCUCACCGUAGUCACCGUCGUCGUUACAUUCCAGAGUCCAGACCAUUUGAAAAUUGAAAUCAUUGCUGUACCAAAACUCCAAAAGGCUUAAACUUCCACUCUUCUGGGCUCUACCAGGUAGCAGUGCAGUCUCCAGUGGGUAAGUUCAUAGUUCUAUUUUUUGAAUUGUUUUCUAAAUAAUUUGGCCGGCUAAAUCGUCUGUGGGUACUGUCAUAGUUUUUUUUCUCCAGCUAAACCGGAUAGAAGAUUUGAUGAAGUGCUAUUUAAUCUUGAUUGUAGUCUUGUGGAUUUGUUGCUUAAUGCUUAUGAUUUAUGAUUUGUGGAUUA